rnacentral:rRNA from 1 species
GGUUAAGCGACUAAGCGUACACGGUGGAUGCCCUGGCAGUCAGAGGCGAUGAAGGACGUGCUAAUCUGCGAAAAGCGUCGGUAAGGUGAUAUGAACCGUUACAGCCGGCGAUGUCCGAAUGGGGAAACCCAGUGCAAUUCGUUGCACUAUCGUUAACUGAAUACAUAGGUUAACGAGGCGAACCGGGGGAACUGAAACAUCUAAGUACCCCGAGGAAAAGAAAUCAACCGAGAUUCCCCCAGUAGCGGCGAGCGAACGGGGAGCAGCCCAGAGUCUGAAUCAGCUUGUGUGUUAGUGGAACGGUCUGGAAAGUCCGACGGUACAGGGUGAUAGUCCCGUACACCAAAAUGCACAGGCUGUGAACUCGAAGAGUAGGGCGGGACACGUGGUAUCCUGUCUGAAUAUGGGGGGACCAUCCUCCAAGGCUAAAUACUCCUGACUGACCGAUAGUGAACCAGUACCGUGAGGGAAAGGCGAAAAGAACCCCGGCGAGGGGAGUGAAAAAGAACCUGAAACCGUGUACGUACAAGCAGUGGGAGCACCUUCGGGUGUGACUGCGUACCUUUUGUAUAAUGGGUCAGCGACUUAUAUUCUGUAGCAAGGUUAACCGUAUAGGGGAGCCGCAGGGAAACCGAGUCUUAACUGGGCGUUAAGUUGCAGGGUAUAGACCCGAAACCCGGUGAUCUAGCCAUGGGCAGGUUGAAGGUUGGGUAACACUAACUGGAGGACCGAACCGACUAAUGUUGAAAAAUUAGCGGAUGACUUGUGGCUGGGGGUGAAAGGCCAAUCAAACCGGGAGAUAGCUGGUUCUCCCCGAAAGCUAUUUAGGUAGCGCCUCGUGAACUCAUCUUCGGGGGUAGAGCACUGUUUCGGCUAGGGGGUCAUCCCGACUUACCAACCCGAUGCAAACUACGAAUACCGAAGAAUGUUAUCACGGGAGACACACGGCGGGUGCUAACGUCCGUCGUGAAGAGGGAAACAACCCAGACCGCCAGCUAAGGUCCCAAAGUCAUGGUUAAGUGGGAAACGAUGUGGGAAGGCACAGACAGCCAGGAUGUUGGCUUAGAAGCAGCCAUCAUUUAAAGAAAGCGUAAUAGCUCACUGGUCGAGUCGGCCUGCGCGGAAGAUGUAACGGGGCUAAACCAUGCACCGAAGCUGCGGCAGCGACACUAUGUGUUGUUGGGUAGGGGAGCGUUCUGUAAGCCUGCGAAGGUGACCUGUGAGGGUUGCUGGAGGUAUCAGAAGUGCGAAUGCUGACAUAAGUAACGAUAAAGCGGGUGAAAAGCCCGCUCGCCGGAAGACCAAGGGUUCCUGUCCAACGUUAAUCGGGGCAGGGUGAGUCGACCCCUAAGGCGAGGCCGAAAGGCGUAGUCGAUGGGAAACAGGUUAAUAUUCCUGUACUUGGUGUUACUGCGAAGGGGGGACGGAGAAGGCUAUGUUAGCCGGGCGACGGUUGUCCCGGUUUAAGCAUGUAGGCUGAUUGUCCAGGCAAAUCCGGAUAAUCAAGGCUGAGGUGUGAUGACGAGGCACUACGGUGCUGAAGUAACAAAUGCCCUGCUUCCAGGAAAAGCCUCUAAGCAUCAGGUAACAUCAAAUCGUACCCCAAACCGACACAGGUGGUCAGGUAGAGAAUACCAAGGCGCUUGAGAGAACUCGGGUGAAGGAACUAGGCAAAAUGGUGCCGUAACUUCGGGAGAAGGCACGCUGGUGUGUAGGUGAAGUCCCUGCGGAUGGAGCUGAGACCAGUCGAAGAUACCAGCUGGCUGCAACUGUUUAUUAAAAACACAGCACUGUGCAAACACGAAAGUGGACGUAUACGGUGUGACGCCUGCCCGGUGCCGGAAGGUUAAUUGAUGGGGUUAUCCGUAAGGAGAAGCUCUUGAUCGAAGCCCCGGUAAACGGCGGCCGUAACUAUAACGGUCCUAAGGUAGCGAAAUUCCUUGUCGGGUAAGUUCCGACCUGCACGAAUGGCGUAAUGAUGGCCAGGCUGUCUCCACCCGAGACUCAGUGAAAUUGAACUCGCUGUGAAGAUGCAGUGUACCCGCGGCAAGACGGAAAGACCCCGUGAACCUUUACUAUAGCUUGACACUGAACAUUGAGCCUUGAUGUGUAGGAUAGGUGGGAGGCUUUGAAGCGUGGACGCCAGUCUGCGUGGAGCCAACCUUGAAAUACCACCCUUUAAUGUUUGAUGUUCUAACGUUGGCCCCUUACCGGGGUUGCGGACAGUGUCUGGUGGGUAGUUUGACUGGGGCGGUCUCCUCCCAAAGCGUAACGGAGGAGCACGAAGGUUAGCUAAUCCUGGUCGGACAUCAGGAGGUUAGUGCAAUGGCAUAAGCUAGCUUGACUGCGAGCGUGACGGCGCGAGCAGGUGCGAAAGCAGGUCAUAGUGAUCCGGUGGUUCUGAAUGGAAGGGCCAUCGCUCAACGGAUAAAAGGUACUCCGGGGAUAACAGGCUGAUACCGCCCAAGAGUUCAUAUCGACGGCGGUGUUUGGCACCUCGAUGUCGGCUCAUCACAUCCUGGGGCUGAAGUAGGUCCCAAGGGUAUGGCUGUUCGCCAUUUAAAGUGGUACGCGAGCUGGGUUUAGAACGUCGUGAGACAGUUCGGUCCCUAUCUGCCGUGGGCGCUGGAGAAUUGAGGGGGGCUGCUCCUAGUACGAGAGGACCGGAGUGGACGCAUCACUGGUGUUCGGGUUGUCAUGCCAAUGGCACUGCCCGGUAGCUAAAUGCGGAAGAGAUAAGUGCUGAAAGCAUCUAAGCACGAAACUUGCCCCGAGAUGAGUUCUCCCUGAGACUUUAAGUCUCCUGAAGGAACGUUGAAGACGACGACGUUGAUAGGCCGGGUGUGUAAGCGCAGCGAUGCGUUGAGCUAACCGGUACUAAUGAACCGUGAGGCUUAACCUU